rnacentral:rRNA from 1 species
CCUACGGGGGGCAGCAGUGGGGAAUAUUGGACAAUGGGGGGAACCCUGAUCCAGCCAUGCCGCGUGUGUGAAGAAGGCCCUCGGGUCGUAAAGCACUUUCAGUGAGGAAGAACGCCUGGUGGUUAAUACCCAUCAGGAAAGACAUCACUCACAGAAGAAGCACCGGCUAACUCCGUGCCAGCAGCCGCGGUAAUACGGAGGGUGCGAGCGUUAAUCGGAAUUACUGGGCGUAAAGCGCGCGUAGGUGGCUUGAUAAGCCGGUUGUGAAAGCCCCGGGCUCAACCUGGGAACGGCAUCCGGAACUGUCAAGCUAGAGUGCAGGAGAGGAAGGUAGAAUUCCCGGUGUAGCGGUGAAAUGCGUAGAGAUCGGGAGGAAUACCAGUGGCGAAGGCGGCCUUCUGGACUGAAACUGACACUGAGGUGCGAAAGCGUGGGUAGCAAACAGGAUUAGAUACCCCGGUAGUC